GAGCGAUGAAGAGAGUUGCGCUCGUGUUGGUUAGGGUCCAUCACUCUUAUCUGAUCCAACGAUUAGAAUUCGCAAACCUGAGCUU
rfam:Gossypium hirsutum cultivar TM-1 chromosome 2, whole genome shotgun sequence